rnacentral:rRNA from 1 species
UACGUAGGGGGCAAGCGUUGUCCGGAUUUAUUGGGCGUAAAGAGCGUGUAGGCGGCCAGGUAGGUCUGCUGUGAAAAACUCGAGGCUUAACCUCGAGCUGUCGGCGGAAACCAUCUGGCUAGAGUCCGGUAGAGGCAGAUGGAAUUCCCGGUGUAGCGGUGGAAUGCGUAGAUAUCGUAAGGAAGACCAGUGGCGAAGGCGGGUCUCUGGACAGUUCCUGACGCUGAGGCACGAAGGCCAGGGGAGCAAACGGG